rnacentral:lncRNA from 1 species
UUUUAAGGAUUAAACAUAAUUUUGCUGGAUAGACUUUGAAAUUCUGUGAAUCUGUGUUGAAAAUAUGCUGCAAAGGUAACAAAGUAAAAUUGAAGUAUCAUUGCACCUAAUAAAACUUGCACCUCAUGCUUGAGAGGUGCCUUGGUUAUCAACUGCAGGAGUGAAAUAACGCACUCAAUUUCUUAAAAGUUUUAAGUUGUUGACCAAAGAAAAAAAACAUUGUUGUAUCCAUGUUUUGAUAGAGAAAGUGCGGUUUUAAUUAGACACAUUGGCGUCGUGUCUUUCAUUGUUGAAUUUUGGAGCUGGGAUUAGUAAAUAGAGACGAUUGCUGUAAUUUUGGGACAACUUAUUAUUUGACAUGUUGAAGCAAUUGUAUAUGCCUGUUUGAUCUUCUUAUAUCACAUUCUUUGAAGGUCUCAAUGAAAGAAAAGCAUGAUCAUUAUCAUGUCUAAGAUUUCAAAGAACUAACUGAAAAUCAAAGGCACAUACAUGAAAAACAUGUGUUGUUUCAGAUAUUCAUUUAUGCAGAGUGUUACUCUCAUAUCCAUAUGUUUGGUAACACCUGUUUUAGUAAAAUCUUGAGAAUACGUGGGGAUCAUUAUGUGUUUAAGUAGAUAAUUAUUUUCACUUUUCUUUCAAACCGCAAAUUGACUCAUGAAUUUCAUUGCAAAAAACAGAAGUCAUGUUUUAUAUAUGGAUUAGGAAACGAGAGAAAAAAUUUCACAUUCCUUCAUUCAAGGAAGAUACCUUUGAUAAUAGAUAUCUACAAAUUUCACAUUCCUUCAUUCAAGGAAGAUACCUUUGAUAAUUAUCCUUUGUUUAUGCUGUACAUCAAAAAACAGAAGUCAUGUU